UCCGGUUUGUCACCGGCAGUCUCCCUAGAGUUCCCGCCAUUACGCGCUGGCAAAUAGGGACAAGGGUUGCGCUCGUUACGGGACUUAACCCAACAUUUCACAACACGAGCUGACGACAGCCAUGCAGCACCUGUCACUCGGUUCCCGAAGGCACUCCGCCGUCUCCGGCAGAUUCCGAGGAUGUCAAGGGUAGGUAAGGUUCUUCGCGUUGCAUCGAAUUAAAGAACAUGCUCCGCUGCUUGUGCGGGCCCCCGUCAAUUCCUUUGAGUUUCAGCCUUGCGGCCGUACUCCCCAGGCGGGGCACUUAAUGCGUUAGCUGCGACACCGAGUGCGUCUAUACACCCGGCAUCUAGUGCCCAGCGUUUACGGCGUGGACUAC
rnacentral:misc_RNA from 1 species